rnacentral:lncRNA from 1 species
GUAUACUUAAGAUAUUUCAAAAUUUAGAAAAAGAAAACAAAGCAUGUUGGAUUGGCCAUGCAUUGGUCUGGGUAUCCAUGAGUCUAUGAACUUAGGAAUAACAAUGGUCCAUCCACAAUCUGGGAGAUUUUGACAAACCUAAUGCCAUCACAAAGGCCUUUGUAUCCCCAUGCCCCAGCACAGGGCUUGGUCCAAAGCAACUAAAGACUAAAUGUUGAAUGAAUGAAUGAACCAACAAACGAACAAAUAAAUGGCCAAAUGAACUGAAUGGGUUGUUUGUUAUACAUGCCUUUGAAUGAAAAAGAUGGAAAAAAUUAUUCUUAAUAAUUUGAAAUUCAAACUACGUCUACAUAUGAGUCCAUGGAAAGCUCUUCUUACAGCCAUCGUUAGAAAAUAACUGAAAACAAGUGGACAAAGUCACCUUGAAAUUUUUUCUAUCCCUAGAAUUUAGAGUUCCCUGGUGGCAAAGCAGGUUAAGGAUCAGGCAUUGUCACUGCAGCAGCUCAGGUCACUGCUGUGGUAUGGGUUCAAUGCCCAGCCUGGGACCUUCCACAUGCUGGGGGUAAGGGAAAAGAAUUAUUUUUUAAUAAAGGUCAAAAAAAAUUUUAAAUAAAAAAGUUCAUUGUCAUAACAGAUGUAACCAAUAACCUGAAAUAUUUAUAAGUCAAAAGGUAUAUAAGUCAAUUAAAGCACUCUCCCAAGCCUUAGGUGAAGAAUUCUCCACAUUUCUCUGUCUUAUUUACCAGAUGCAUCAGGAUUCUGAGUCAGGCUGUCUUCGUGAAUAAAAGUUGUUCCCAAACUGUCCUCAAAAUGCUAGAACGUAAGAAAAAACUGCCAGUGUGGAUCCCUGUGAUUUCAGAUUCCCGAUCAUUAUAAAAUAAUAUACAGACUCUGUGAAACCCAACAGAAAUAUGCUAGGGUCAAUGUUUGCCAUUAUAUUUUUCCACAAAAUUCAGUUACAUUUCAAAAGAACCAAAACAAGAUCCAUGAUUUAUUCACAAAGCCUACUAAUUAAAUCCCCCAAAAGCAGUUUAAAAUAAUGUAAGCCAAGAGAAUAAUUUCAGAAACUACCCUAGACCUCCACUAUCUGAAAUAAGGUGGCUGUUUUCCACAUUCUUCUUUCUGUUCUUAAAAUAUUAAUUGACUUUCAAAUAUAAUCCUGGCGCUUCCUUCAAAAUACCUUUUCCAUGAAGCAGGGCCAUGUAUUUAUAGUGUCCCUUUAAAGUUUAACAAAAGAAGGAUUCAAAUGGAGUUACCUCCACUCGGCAGAAGCCUUUUUUCAAAUGUGUAACAGGAUCUGACUGCAGUCACUAGGUCUGCUCUCCACACAAAGAAAGGCUGGAAAACAUUUGCGUUAGGCUUCUGGAGUUAAAAAUGAAGAAGCCUUUUCCUUUCCAUCAGUUCCUUGUUAUUAAUAAGGUGGCCACACUAAGCCAGAAAUUAUAACCAUCUGCUUUAGCCAUUAAAUGCAGAUUCAAAGGCCUAAUGAUAAAGUGACCUCUUUAUUAAUAGCAGAAAGCGACAAGUGGCCAUUUUCGCAGAGCAUGCCAGGAGAUAAAUCAAUCCAUACGUUCAGGUUGACUUCAGCAAUAUUGCCUCUGAUUUCUCUUCUCUUUCAGCCUUCAUGUGUGGAAUCACCAGGUUAAACAAAACAGGAGCUCCCAGAAGCCCCUGGCCCAUGAAUUUUGUGUAUCUGGGCUGUGGAUGAGAUGCCACCGACCACCACACCUAAUCUGAAGACGCUGCCUUUUAUUUCUCCCCAUCACAAAAGCAUCACUGCACGUUUUGACUGAACCCAGGUGUGCACACGUGGGGCUUAUUUCCUGUUGUGAUUAUGCAGGAAUCAAGGCCUGAAACAGAGAAGGUGUGUGGGAAAGCCACAGAUCCGCAGAAAGAACAAGGGUCGAGUCGCCACAGCUGGGUUUUCGGAUUUCAGUGACAUAGCCCCCGCAAUUCACAUAUUAGCAUUUUCAUCAUCAAGUUGCAACAUGAUGGAGGCUUUCGAUCAAAGUGGGUUUUCCCAACCUAACCUUGCAGGGCGGACAGAAGUUUUGUUGCAAUGCAGAGGCGCAGGGACACAGCAGCAUCCUCCUGGCAGGAAACCUCCACCACCACCUAGAGCACAGGAAUCUCUGUGGGAUGCGUCUCCCCGGCCCUUGUCCAAGGGGCUUUAAGUACUGGAAGGGCCAGAAAGACCUCUUUACCAACCUCAUCUUUCUUCCAACUCAAGCCAUAGGCUUGAACCCUGAGAAAACAGCAAAAGAGGGAAGCGGUGUGACUGAGCGAGGUCCCGAGGGAUGAGUAGGAGUUCUUGGGUGGAAGGCUUUGUACAGGACGUGGAGCACACUACCUCUCCCACCAGGGAGGGGGCUCUGCAAGCACUGUCUUUACCGCAAAGUUCCAACCCUUUAAACACCCCCAAACGCCCGCGCCAGCAGCUGCGUCUCUGAACCGAACGGCCAGCACCUGCUGCCCCACCCCUCCCGUUUCCCCUCCCUGAGUCCCUCACUCGAGCCACACCGCAGAAGGCGGUCCCCAGACGUCCAGAAGGAGAAAGACCUCCAGAGGGCUGAGGGGGCAGAGGCAGGAACGCCAGACUGAGAGUUCAAUCAGAGACCCUUGCGAGUCAACUCGAAGGGACAUCAGGGAACUCUGCCCAUCUAUACCCCAACCGAAAGAAACCUCCGUCUCUCCAACCAGAAUGCAACCUCAAUGGCACGGGAGUGGGGAGUGGGGAGUGGGGAGUGGGGGUCUGCAGUGCCGGGAGUAGAGGGGAAGGGGGAUGGGGGGGUGGAGAGUAGGAGAGAAAGUGCAUCUGUAUCAGCCAAAUCCCGCAGAUCCACUGUAUCCAUUGAUGGGUGCAGGCUUCACCUCCAGGACACCCCUCCAGGGCCUGAGGUCAGGAAUGCAGUAGAGUCCUGGCCCUGCAGGAACAAGCUGUGUGGGUCGAGGGUGUCACUUAACCUUUCUAGGCCUCACUACCCUUCCCCAGAGAAUAAGGCAGCAGGGCUCGCAGGCAGACUUGGCCUUCCAUACCUUUUGAUCACUUUAUCUGUUGGCUCCCUGUCCUCCAGUACAAAAUUGUGACAUUGGAGUAGAUGGUUUCAAAGUCCUCUCUGACACUGAGGCUCUAUGAUUCAGCUGACGAACGAGCAAGGAUCACUGUGACAAUCUCAGUGGCCCCUUCUUUGCCAAAUCAUGAUAGGAAUGUGCUUCAGCAGAAUGCCCCCAGCCCAGCCACCGGUCCAUCUGGUUGGGAACCAGCUCCUUCUAUCUGCCCACUUGCCGACAAGGAAAUCUUCAAACAGAGACAGGAUGAUUCAUAGCAUCUUUAAUAGGGACCCCACCUUGACAUUAAAUCUUGCGCUGAGGUUAUCAAAAACAGCAAACACACAAAGAACUUACUCACAGCCUUGAGAGCCAGCCAGAGGGAGAGCCAGAGACUGUGCAGGUGGCUGGAAGGAAAACUGACAUGAAUUACAAAGAAAAGGUGCAUUGAGUUAAUAGCACCCUGAAACUGGGGGAGGAGGUUGAAAACAGAUGUGAGGGGCAGUCUACCUCUGCAGCCCGAGGAAUGAGAAAGCAAGAAUCACAACUUUUCUCAGACAGACAGACAGACCGCUAGACACACACACACACAAAAGCCUGUGAAAUUCACUAUGUUGGGCAUGGGGUGUGGGUUGUUGUGCCCCUGUAGGGAGACUGCAAAGCCAAAAGCUGAUCAAAUACAGCCCCUAAAAUCCAGUUUUCUACAAGGAGUUUGAAGCCAAGUAAGUUUGGGGGGUGGGGGGGUCCCUUUGGCACACUGGAGAGGGUGUUGGACAUAAAAACUUUAAGAUAAGCUCUAUCUUCAUGAUCUUUUAUCAUUAUGAAAUCCCUAAACCAAAUGCCUCAUCUAUAUCAUGGACAUUACUAAUAUUCAGUCUUUCAGAAAACAGAUUUUUUUUAGUUUUAAAUAUGUAAAACACACCCAGUACGUGGAACACAGCAGACGCUCCGAAAAAACAGGAACUCUUGACCAAGAUACAUGAAGGGAGCAAAGCGCAGAACACAAUAGCUGGUCAACCCCAAGGGACAAAAAGAAACCAAGGACAGGGAGUGACAAACAAGGUGACAUGGUGGGUCAAGGCGGGAACAGCCACUACGAGAAAGCCAUCAGCACUGUCACGUCUCAUAAAUACCUACUGAAGUUAAGAGGAAAUACACAGAUUGCCAGAUGCGUGGUAAAAUAGGACCCCAGGUAUGUUAAAGAGAGUCACAGAGAGAAUCAAUUACAUAAAGCAAAGGGGGAGAGACAUAUUCUAAACACUAAAAGUCAUUGUCACCAGGUUUGGCUACUGGGUUCCUUCAAGGGAGUUUUGUUGGUUAAUCAGUAUUUUCCAAUUAGCUUUCCAGAAACAUCCGUUUUUCUUAUUCCGAAAUUCAUAAAAAUUGAAAAUUAAACGUGUGCAUGAAGUAUUUCAGAAACAUCCGUUUUUCUUAUUUCAAAACUCAUCAAAACUGUAAAUUAAACAUUUGCAGGAAGAAACUGCUCUCCUGGGGAAACUGAGGUCCUCCAGAAGCUUAGCCUUCUGAGAUCAGGGCUGUUCGAACCAUUCAAAAGUUGUUAUCACAUAGAUGGACAAUCCCAGUCGGCCCAUCAAUGUAUGUGGCGGGCCUUCUUAAUUCAAAAGCGCCACAGGAAAUAUUUUGGGAAAAAUAAAUAAAUUCGCAAAAAGCCCCCAUCUCAUUAGGGAACUAGACGUGCACCCAUAAAAUUAUAACUCACAAUGCAGGGCGCACCAGCGCCACAGUAAAUUUCAAAGAGGGUGAUUUGAGCCAGGCUUCGGAGACCUGGGGGAUGACAGGAGGAGGCCUAAGGUCACACACUUUCUGGUGCAGAGACAAUUUAAUUAAAAAGAAGUUCCAUUCUGCCCACUCCACCAGGUAACAGAGAAUUCAUUGUAUUCUGGGGAACUGAAAAACAUCUUAUAAGAAGGCCGAUUGCAUGACCUUCCACUUGCAAUAGCUUCCAGGACAGGGAAUAAUUAGAAUCACAUAGCAGGGGCUGCUUGCUUUCAUUCGAUAGAUAACUUUAAACAGGCAUCCAAACCACGUGAACAAGCAAACUUCCUGCACUGGUCUCCUACAGGGCCUAAUUUUCACCUCAGCCCCACAUGUCCUCCAUCCCCCAACUGUUAUCAAGCUACUUCACUGCCUUCUGUCCCUUAUUCUCAGCCUCCGAACACCCUGGUAGAUAGCAAACGCCUUUCAUGCUCUCAUUUAGUCUCUCAACAUUUUUUCAGCACGUGCUAUAUACCAGCAACACAAAAACAAAUAAGACAGCCCUAUUCUCACAAAGUUCAUCGUCCAGUGGCAAUAACUGACUCAUUAAGAGAUAACUCCAGAAGUUACCGUAAUGGGUCAGUGGAUCAAGAAUCUGACUAGUAUCCAUGAGGAUUUGGGUUCGAUCCCUGGCCUUGCUCAGUUGGUUAAAGGAUCAAGUGUUGCAGUGAGCUGUGGUGUAGGUCACAGAUGAGGCUCAGAUCUGGCACUGCUGUGGCUAUGGUGUAGGCUGGCAGCAGCUCCAAUUUGAGCCCUAGCCUGGGAACUUCCAUAUGCCAUGGGUGCGGCACCUAAAAAGAAAAAAA